UACGUAGGGGGGCAAGCGUUGUCCGGAAUUAUUGGGCGUAAAGCGCGUGUAGGCGGCUCGGUAAGUCUGCUGUGAAAGUCCAAGGCUCAACCUUGGAAAGCCGGUGGAUACUGUCGAGCUCGAGUCCGGAAGAGGCGAGUGGAAUUCCUGGUGUAGCGGUGAAAUGCGCAGAUAUCAGGAGGAACACCAAUGGCGAAGGCAGCUCGCUGGGACGGUACUGACGCUGAGGCGCGAAAGCGUGGGGAGCAAACAGG
rnacentral:rRNA from 1 species